UGGGGAAUUUUGGACAAUGGGCGCAAGCCUGAUCCAGCCAUGCCGCGUGCGGGAAGAAGGCCUUCGGGUUGUAAACCGCUUUUGUCAGGGAAGAAAUCUUCUGAGUUAAUACCUCGGGAGGAUGACGGUACCUGAAGAAUAAGCACCGGCUAACUACGUGCCAGCAGCCGCGGUAAUACGUAGGGUGCAAGCGUUAAUUGGAAUUACUGGGCGUAAAGCGUGCGCAGGCGGUUCUGUAAGACAGAGGUGAAAUCCCCGGGCUCAACCUGGGAACUGCCUUUGUGACUGCAAGGCUUGAGUGCGGCAGAGGGGGAUGGAAUUCCGCGUGUAGCAGUGAAAUGCGUAGAUAUGCGGAGGAACACCGAUGGCGAAGGCAAUCCCCUGGGCCUGCACUGACGCUCAUGCACGAAAGCGUGGGGAGCAAACAGGAUUAGAUACCCUGGUAGUCCACGCCCUAAACGAUGUCAACUGGUUGUUGGGAAGGUUCCUUCUCAGUAACGUAGCUAACGCGUGAAGUUGACCGCCUGGGGAGUACGGCCGCAAGGUUGAAACUCAAAUGAAUUGACGGGGUCAUAGCUGUUUCCU
rnacentral:rRNA from 1 species